CGAAAAGAACCCCGGCGAGGGGAGUGAAAAAGAACCUGAAACCGUGUACGUACAAGCAGUGGGAGCACGCUUAGGCGUGUGACUGCGUACCUUUUGUAUAAUGGGUCAGCGACUUAUAUUCUGUAGCAAGGUUAACCGAAUAGGGGAGCCGAAGGGAAACCGAGUCUUAACUGGGCGUUAAGUUGCAGGGUAUAGACCCGAAACCCGGUGAUCUAGCCAUGGGCAGGUUGAAGGUUGGGUAACACUAACUGGAGGACCGAACCGACUAAUGUUGAAAAAUUAGCGGAUGACUUGUGGCUGGGGGUGAAAGGCCAAUCAAACCGGGAGAUAGCUGGUUCUCCCCGAAAGCUAUUUAGGUAGCGCCUCGUGAAUUCAUCUCCGGGGGUAGAGCACUGUUUCGGCAAGGGGGUCAUCCCGACUUACCAACCCGAUGCAAACUGCGAAUACCGGAGAAUGUUAUCACGGGAGACACACGGCGGGUGCUAACGUCCGUCGUGAAGAGGGAAACAACCCAGACCGCCAGCUAAGGUCCCAAAGUCAUGGUUAAGUGGGAAACGAUGUGGGAAGGCCCAGACAGCCAGGAUGUUGGCUUAGAAGCAGCCAUCAUUUAAAGAAAGCGUAAUAGCUCACUGGUCGAGUCGGCCUGCGCGGAAGAUGUAACGGGGCUAAACCAUGCAC
rnacentral:rRNA from 1 species